rnacentral:lncRNA from 1 species
ACAACCCCUGUCUAUUUGGAAAAAAAAAGAAAUUGAAAAAAAAAUGUAGCGACAUGCAAAGGUUAGAUUGGUUAUGUUGAUGCAAAAGAUAGAUCUGCAAACACAAAGGGCUAAUACCCGAUUUAAACGUUAAGGCGUGCUAGUCGAUUUGACCUUACUAUCGGCAAAGGUGAUAACUCAAAUACUUUGGUCCCGACAACAGCGAUACGCCCGGAUGCCACGGCCAAGAGGUAUUCACGCGGAACUAGAGAACACGCCAAGCUUAAGUCGACGAAUUCCUAAGAACUCGUAGUAAAAAGAAAAAGUAUAACGAAGUCGUCGAAAUAGUAGAUGCUGGAAUAUAAGUAAAAACUGGUGUUUGAUUGAUUUAUUUAUUCUAUUCAUUACAAAGCCCUAGGGUCUACAUUUAUAUCCUGCUCAAAGAACUACAACCAGACACGACUAGGACUCGAAUUCUAAAUUAAACAGAAUCCGUAUACAAAACGAAUUUAAACAACUAAGGAAAACAUAAAACCACCCCCUUGUAACCGACCGGGACACCGCCACAGAUCAAUCAGCAACCUCCACGCUUCCCUUCAGAGUCAUCGGCAGUCUCUCUGUUAUGGCCAUCGGCAAACACCAAUAUUGAUCAUCGGCAAGAACACGUCACCACCUUUGGAUUUAGUCAUAUUCAAUCUUCUCUUCAUCGGCAUCCAUCCUCAUCGGCAACUCUUCUGUAAGCUAGUUACUCUUGCUCCACCUGCCGAUCUAUACUCUGCUGGUCUCUGGGUACAUGCCCA